rnacentral:lncRNA from 10 species
AGCACCAAGAGCACCCUGGGCUAUAAGGGAACUAGAAUGCAGUUGUUAGCAGCAGCGAAUCUGCAUGGGUCUGCAGCAACCUCAAGUCUCCUCAGAAGAAAGAAUUUGACCAAGGGGCAUAAGGCAGAAGGAGAGACCCGGGCAAGCUUCAGAGCAAGAGUGGAAGUUUAUUAAAAAGCUUCAGAGCAGGAAUGAAAGAAAAGUACACUUGGAAGAGAGCCAAACAGGUGACUUGAGAGAUCAAGUAAAACCUCAUUAACGUAACUGCAACAAUGAAGACAUUACCUAAAGGAGAGGACAGACUGCAAAAAUGGGACGAGCCUCGGGGCUGGACACAAGUGGCUGGGAAACGUCCGCAGCAGGUCUCAUUCCCCGGGAGGCGAGGAUGAAAAUUACAGGUGACACAUGGGUCAAUGGCCUGUCUCCUGACUCAAGACACACAAGGAAGAGACUCUUUGAAGCCUCAGGAGCAGACACUCAAUUGGAUAGCGCCUGGGAUUUGAAGGUCUGCCAUAGAGUCCGAAGAGAGGGGGAAAACACACGCAAACCACCCAAUCACAGGGACCCCUGUGGCUCCUCACCCACCCUCCACCCUCCACCUUCCACUUAUUCCACUCCUCUCGAUUGUCAAUUAAAAUAAACAGCCUUGUAUUCC